AUUGAACGCUGGCGGCAGGCCUAACACAUGCAAGUCGAGCGGUGCGGCGGACGGGUGCGUAAUGCCUCGGAAUCUGCCUGGUAGCGGGGGAUAACUUCCGGAAACGGGCGCUAAUACCGCAUACUAUCAGAUGCGCCUAGUACGGAUUAGCUAGUUGGUGGGGUAAAGGCUUACCAAGGCGACGAUCCGUAACUGGUCUGCGAGGCUGACCAGCCACACUGGAACUGAGACACGGUCCAGACUCCUACGGGAGGCAGCAGUGGGGAAUUUUUGACAAUGGGCGAAAGCCUGACCCAACCAUGCCGCGUGAGUAGUGAAGGUCUUCGGAUUGUAAAGCUCUUUAAUUAGGAAAGCAGUACCAACAGGAUAAGCACCGACUAACUUCGUGCCAGCAGCCGCGGUAAUAC
rnacentral:rRNA from 1 species